GCAGACGUGAUGUAUGUAUACAAAAAGGAAGACAUCAACCUCCCUAGUGCUUUUCUAGAGGAAGUCUUAAAAGUCUCAGGUCUCCUGCCAACCACUGUUGCCCCAACAACCACCACCACCACUGUGGCUUCUACUACGGCAAUUAAAACUGCAGGUCCUACAACAACAACCACAACUGCUGCUCCUACAAUGACUACAACUGCAGCAUCUACAAGUACAACCACAAUUGUACUUCCUACAACGACAACUGCAACUUUUACCUCAACUUCUAUGGCUUCAGUGACAUCAACAACUAGAUUUGGCACAGUGAUGUUUUUUGUUAGACUGAUGUUCCAGCUCAACACACCAGUCCCCACUAAGGAUGAUGUCCUUGGUGCCG